rnacentral:rRNA from 1 species
UACGUAGGGCGCAAGCGUUGUCCGGAAUUAUUGGGCGUAAAGAGCUCGUAGGCGGCUUGUCACGUCGAUUGUGAAAGCCCGAGGCUUAACCUCGGGUCUGCAGUCGAUACGGGCUAGCUAGAGUGUGGUAGGGGAGAUCGGAAUUCCUGGUGUAGCGGUGAAAUGCGCAGAUAUCAGGAGGAACACCGGUGGCGAAGGCGGAUCUCUGGGCCAUUACUGAUGCUGAGGAGCGAAAGCGUGGGGAGCGAACAGG